rnacentral:rRNA from 1 species
AUUGAACGCUGGCGGCAGGCCUAACACAUGCAAGUCGAACGGUAGCACAGAGGAACUUGCUCCUUGGGUGACGAGUGGCGGACGGGUGAGUAAUGUCUGGGAAACUGCCCGAUGGAGGGGGAUAACUACUGGAAACGGUAGCUAAUACCGCAUAACGUCUUCGGACCAAAGUGGGGGACCUUCGGGCCUCACACCAUCGGAUGUGCCCAGAUGGGAUUAGCUAGUAGGUGGGGUAAUGGCUCACCUAGGCGACGAUCCCUAGCUGGUCUGAGAGGAUGACAAGCCACACUGGAACUGAGACACGGUCCAGACUCCUACGGGAGGCAGCAGUGGGGAAUAUUGCACAAUGGGCGCAAGCCUGAUGCAGCCAUGCCGCGUGUAUGAGGAAGGCCUUCGGGUUGUAAAGUACUUUCAGCGGGGAGGAAGGCGUUAAGGUUAAUAACCUUGGCGAUUGACGUUACCCGCAGAAGAAGCACCGGCUAACUCCGUGCCAGCCGCCGCCGUAA